GGGCACUUAACCUGAACAAUGAGAUGGCUACCCUAAACCCCUUACCUCCUCGCACAAUUAAUUUAAAAUUUCUGAGAGACAUGAAAUUGUGUCGUUCAAGGAGAGAAGGAGGUUAUACACUUAUGGUUCAUGGUGUAGCCAUCCCAUCUAUUAUUCUACCUUGCACUAGACGUACAGAUAUACGUGAUGAGAGGAAUUGGACCUACGAUUUAAAUGCUCCACCUGUUUUGGGUCCU
rnacentral:lncRNA from 1 species